rnacentral:rRNA from 1 species
GACGAACGCUGGCGGCGUGCUUAACACAUGCAAGUCGAACGGAAAGGCCCUGCUUGCAGGGUACUCGAGUGGCGAACGGGUGAGUAACACGUGGGUGAACUGCCCUGCACUUCGGGAUAAGCCUGGGAAACUGGGUCUAAUACCGGAUAGGAGUCAUUUUUAGUGUGAUGGUUGGAAAGUUUUUUCGGUGUAGGAUGAGCUCGCGGCCUAUCAGCUUGUUGGUGGGGUAAUGGCCUACCAAGGCGGCGACGGGUAGCCGGCCUGAGAGGGUGGACGGCCACAUUGGGACUGAGAUACGGCCCAGACUCCUACGGGAGGCAGCAGUGGGGAAUAUUGCACAAGGGGCGCAAGCCUGAUGCAGCGACGCCGCGUGGGGGAUGACGGCCUUCGGGUUGUAAACUCCUUUCGCUAGGGACGAAGCUUUUUGUGACGGUACCUAGAGAAGAAGCACCGGCUAACUACGUG